rnacentral:sRNA from 1 species
AGGUUUUUGUUUGUUUUUUGUUUGUGU